rnacentral:rRNA from 1 species
ACGAACGCUGGCGGCGUGCCUAAUACAUGCCAGUCGCGCGAGCGAAACUAACAGAUUUACUUCGGUAAUGACGUUAGGAAAGCGAGCGGCGGAUGGGUGAGUAACACGUGGGGAACCUGCCCCAUAGUCUGGGAUACCACUUGGAAACAGGUGCUAAUACCGGAUAAGAAAGCAGAUCGCAUGAUCAGCUUUUAAAAGGCGGCGUAAGCUGUCGCUAUGGGAUGGCCCCGCGGUGCAUUAGCUAGUUGGUAAGGUAAAGGCUUACCAAGGCGAUGAUGCAUAGCCGAGUUGAGAGACUGAUCGGCCACAUUGGGACUGAGACACGGCCCAAACUCCUACGGGAGGCAGCAGUAGGGAAUCUUCCACAAUGGACGCAAGUCUGAUGGAGCAACGCCGCGUGAGUGAAGAAGGUUUUCGGAUCGUAAAGCUCUGUUGUUGGUGAAGAAGGAUAGAGGUAGUAACUGGCCUUUAUUUGACGGUAAUCAACCAGAAAGUCACGGCUAACUACGUG